AUACGUAGGGUGCGAGCGUUGUCCGGAAUUACUGGGCGUAAAGAGCUCGUAGGUGGUUUGUCGCGUCGUCUGUGAAAUUCCGGGGCUUAACUCCGGGCGUGCAGGCGAUACGGGCAUAACUUGAGUACUGUAGGGGAGACUGGAAUUCCUGGUGUAGCGGUGAAAUGCGCAGAUAUCAGGAGGGACACCGGUGGCGAAGGCGGGUCUCGGGGCAGUAACUGACGCUGAGGAGCGAAAGCAUGGGUAGCGAACAGGAUUAGAUACCCUGGUAGUCCAUGCCGUAAACGGUGGGCGCUAGGUGUAGGGGUCUUCCACGACUUCUGUGCCGUAGCUAACGCAUUAAGCGCCCCGCCUGGGGAGUACGGCCGCAAGGCUAAAACUCAAAUGAAUUGACGGGG
rnacentral:rRNA from 1 species